ACGAGUUUUAAUUGUUAGGUUAGAGUUGAGCUGGUUAAUCUAAUUAAUAUGUGCUACUCUAAUCGAAACAAGUCCACUCAUUAACUUAACACUUGUGAACUUAUUCAUUACAACAUUAAUUAUUGUACUGAUAGGGAACGUUUGAUUAUUAAAAAGUUAAUA
rnacentral:misc_RNA from 1 species